rnacentral:rRNA from 1 species
UGGGGAAUUUUCCGCAAUGGGCGAAAGCCUGACGGAGCAAUACCGCGUGAGGGAGGAAGGCUUUUGGGUUGUAAACCUCUUUUCUUAGGGAAGAAGAAAGUGACGGUACCUAAGGAAUCAGCAUCGGCUAACUCCGUGCCAGCAGCCGCGGUAAUACGGAGGAUGCAAGCGUUAUCCGGAAUUAUUGGGCGUAAAGCGUCCGUAGGCGGUUCAUCAAGUCAGUUGUUAAAGACUGCAGCUCAACUGUGGGCGAGCAACUGAAACUGAUGAACUAGAGUGCGGUAGGGGUAGAGGGAAUUCCCAGUGUAGCGGUGAAAUGCGUAGAUAUUGGGAAGAACACCAGUGGCGAAGGCGCUCUACUGGGCCGCAACUGACGCUGAGGGACGAAAGCUAGGGGAGCGAAAGGGAUUAGAUACCCCCGUAGUCC